rnacentral:rRNA from 1 species
UACGAGUGCCUCAAGCGUUAUCCGGAAUCAUUGGGCGUAAAGGUUGUGUAGGUGGUUAUAUUAGUCUUCUGUUAAAUUCUUCGGCUUAACCGGGGGCAUGCAGAAGAAACGGCAAAACUUGAGGAUGCGAGGGGUCUGUGGAACUCAUGGUGUAGCGGUGAAAUGCGUUGAUAUCAUGGGGAACACCAAAAGCGAAGGCAGCAGACUGGAGCACUCCUGACACUGAAACACGAAAGCGUGGGUAGCGAAUGGG